UCGUGGUUGUGAUCACCGGAAAGAUCACGAGAUAUCUCUAGUUAAGACCUUGAGGUUGGUACAUUUGUGAUCCAUGAGUGAUCACCGUUCGGUUGCGAGGCAAUCCGUUGGUAAGAGAGUCCGAGGGACUCGGUGCACAAGUUUGGUUGCAUUGCAUGAGUAGUAAGUUUUUAUUUGCAUUUAAAGAACCAUGGGAGAACAUGAGAUGGUUGCAUGAUGGUAGCAUGUUAUGUCUGCAUUGGAUAUGAUUGAUAGCUUAUUUUCAGCAUAGUUUCAGGAUGCCAUGCUAUGUUUGGAUUGAGUAUAUGCCAUGUUUUGAUUGAACUCGUGCCAUGCUUAGAUUAUGUCAUGAUCAAGAUGCUAUGCUAUGCCAGGUUUUGCCGUUGCCAUGUUAGAAGUAAAUUUGAUAUGCCAUGUUAUUUCCAUGUUAGUAGAUGCUAUGAUGUUGUUCAUGCUCAGUUGAUCUAUAUCAUGCCAUGUUUAGUAAUUGAUAUGAGAUAGGUUGAUGCAUACGCUUGGUUCCUGCUUUGUCUUCUGUUUGUUUGGAUGCUAUGUAUUUGGUUGUCUUGCAAGUACAUUCAAUAUACUGACCUGGCGUGUCAUGCCAGUUUUGUAGGUCGUGCUCGAAAUUUCGUUGUUUCGUCAUGCUAGGCCGUAAUCUUGUCAGUCCUGUGAGUUGUGGAGCCCAGCCAGAGUGAUAUGCUGCCAAGACUUCCGCCGCCAUUUAAAUAGACUUUUGCUGUCAUGUAAAUAGCCUUAGGGCUAUGCUAGAAGAUUAUAUUCAUCACUGAUGUAAUCAUAUACACAUGUAUUUGAUGAAUAUUCUUGUACCUGGAAUGUUGUAUCAUGGACCUGUCGUGCGUCACGUGUUAUCCUGGGCUGACGUGCGAAGGCCCCCUGUUCCAUGCGGAUCGGGGUGCCACAGGGCUUGGUACCAGAGCAGCCAGGCUGGCGUAGAUUAUCCGAGCAUUAGAUCACCGCUACCAUCAACCCAUAAUGAACCUAAGGGAUUUGACCCAUCCCUAGCAUCCGGCAUGGCCACUGUUAAUCAACAGGUGGCGCAGUUGGGACCGACACGACCUCACCCUGCUGUCCCCGCCUAGUUAUCCGUGGAACAUGCAGCAAUCCUAUCCUUUCUGGUCGGCCGCACCACUUUCCCUUCACCAGUAAGGGAAAGGGGCCACACCAUGCGGGCCUGUCCCGCGUAGCUGCCUAUGAAACCCCCUUUCCGCUAGCCGUUUCGCUCGCUCCUCAAUCCGCCAUGUCCCUGCAGAGAAGCUUAGCUAGUAACUCCCCAGUCAUGACUAGCAGCUCCAAAACUUCCACAUAUUACACCCGCACCUAUGCCGUCGACCACCCUGGCUUUCCACCCCUUCUUGCCGAGAUGCUCACCAAAGCCUUUGGCGGUAAGACUAGUCCCGAUUACCUGGUGUUCCAAUCGGCACCCGUCCCUCACCUUCAUCGCUUUGUUGCAAGAGUGCACAUCAGCCUAGGUCCUGCAGCAGAUGUCCAACCUUUGGUUUUAUAGGGUAGAGCCAUGCCUACCUCUGAUUUAGCCAUUCAAGCCGCUGCUGUGGAGGCUAUCCUACACCUCUGAACCAAGUUCCCGCAUGUUGCAACAAGGCGGGAGUUCUGCUUUUCCCCACUGUGGCAAAAGCAGUAAUGCAGCCUUCUCCCGUUAGCCAAGGAGAUGAUCCCGCAAUCGCUCGCCUGGUGCAAUACAUCACUGCCCAGGGGAUGUUGAUUUCAAAGAUGCUUGCCGAGUUUAGAACCAUGGACAAUAAUGUGGUACGAUUCGUCACGUAAGCUUACCGUGAGGCUCGUAAGUUCGCAUCUCAAGCUGUUUGCCCAACGCCAUCCGAACCAGUGCUAUCCUCUCAACCUGUGCUGUGGCCCAAGCCAAACAUCAUCACCCUUGACAAGGCUCUUCUCCAGAUCCACCAGCAUCAUUUUCCUGGAUCAAUUUCAGCCCCACCGCCCCAACCCAUAGAAGUGUCAGACGAUGAAGAUGGAGAUUGGCUUAGUCUUUGUCCUCCUGGUGAGCCCCAGCAAGGCCAGUCUUCUGUAUGACCUCAGUCACGUAGUCAGUGGUUCCUGCUAGUCGAUCGGUCUGUCGGUUCGUCCCCGAUAUGAGGACAGAACCAUGUAUUCCCGGAGUGAGUAGUUUCGAUUAGCGCGUAGCGCAUUUGUGCUUUGAUGUAUGUUGGUACUGUUGUAACCCGUAUGUUGUGUUAUUUGCUUGCUUGAUUUUGUUUGUGUGUUUGUUUUUGCUUGUCUCUCUGUCAAACAGAAAUGUUUGACAGGGUUGACAAUGUGUGCUAACAAGAUUCUAAUCAGUAUGACACAUACACUAAAAACAACAUUGACUCGUUCCGAGUCUCUAAUAAAAUGCGCGCUGGUGUAGGUAUAUGUAUACCAGGAUUACAUAUACCCACUAGCAUUAAAACACCUUAGUGUGAUUUGUCUGGUGUGUUUUUCCGUUGCAUGUUUUUGCAUCUAUCUGUUUGUUUAUAUUUUACUGCAUACUGCACGCAUACCCGGUUCACCCACGAGUACAGUUGAGCAGUACUCGGGGAAUGCAAAGUCACAUAUCCCCCUCUAUCUGUGCAUACCCCGUGUGACAGGUUUUCCAAACCCAGAACCUCAAAGAGGCCAUUGUCAUCUGGCCAUUUCUCCUCCCUUAUUCUUUUUCAUGAGCCCAAUUGUGUUUCCAGAGGAACACUGCCAGCUUUAUUUUUCGCGAUCCAUUACAACUCCCCGAUACAGAUUUCAACUCCGAUUCUACCUCGACACCUACAUUUCAUAGAGCAAUCCACGAAAUCUUUCCCGUGCCCUAGUUUAACUCCUAAGCUGGCGUAGUCACCGCACCUGCAUCCGAACCCUUCCCCACCACCAUCACUGCCUUGCGUGGCGCCGCAAGUCACCACCACCGCAGCACGCGAUUACUCCGCCGGCGCGAGGCGACGGAGAACCAAGCGUAGCGCAGGACCACCUCAUGCACCAUCUUCUUCCGCACCUCGAGCCACAACACCCCGCUACGCAUUGUCUCGAGCCCGCUCGUUCCUGAUGAGUAUCACUAGGAGGAUCGCCGAGCUGAUCAGCAUGCCCAGCAGUGCCGCGAAGAACAACCGUAGCGCCACCAAGAACACCUCCUCGCCGCAGGAUCUCGACUCAAUCUCGCCCAAACUGAAGAGGUAGUAGAGUGGCAUUGUGUUUGUGUGUUGGAAGCGAGCCGCGCUACCGUUUUUAUAGCCCAACCCUGGUGAACGGUGAGCUGAGUCCAGGAAAAUCGCUCGUCGCCCGAUCACCGGCGUCCAGGAGGCGAAUCCGCAAGCAGUGCCGACAAGGUGCUGGCCCACGACGUGAGUGCUCGCUGCACCGGCGUCGUGCACGUCGCGCACUACGUCUCUAGGGCCCUCAUCGCCCUAGGAGCUAGAUGCGCGCUGCACCAAGCCGCACGUGAAGUAGCAGCACAGGAGAAGCAGCUAGCCGGAGGUAGAAGAAGGAGGCUGCCAGUGGGCCCAGGACCCACGUGUCAGCAGGUGAAUCCACUGUUCACUGGGGUGCAUCUAGCAUUUUUUUGAGAGUUUGAUCUUGAAUGCCCCUAGCCGUGGAUAUAAUCAUAUUUGCCCAUAUCUCUCCUUGGGUGUACCAAUUAUCGGUGCCCCAACUCGUUCAAAUUCAACCAAAGGGUUAAAAUUAACCCAGAGAUUUUUUCCCCGGAGUGGUUAUGUUUUCUUUGUGCUGUAACCCUAGGAAUCUCGGGGACGAGAUUCUUUUUAAGGUGGGAAGGUUUGUAACAACCACAAAAUUGGGUUAUCAAUUUUUGUGUUGUUAUUCCUUCCUGGCACUCCUUUUCAAAAUCUUUCUCCUGAGUUUUGUUGGAUGACUCUGAGGCUUCUUGUCAUUUGCAACCUUUCAAAACUUGUUCAUGUCUUUUUUAGUGGGCAAGACCUCGGUUGCAGCAUCUUAAACCCUCUCAAACCCUAAUUCCAAAAAAAUUGGAAUUUGAAUGUGGCCUUUUUGAUUACAAAGCAGCCAUCAUUUUCCUUGAUCUGUUGCUCACCCCAUCUGUUCCUUGAGACCCCCUAUCCUUUUCAACCUUGGAUAUGCAAAAAUAUUGCCAAGUCCCAUGCAAUAUUUUUGAAUUAUGAUUUAUUCCUUUACUUGCCUUUCUGAGGAAUAAAAUCCAAAGGCAUAGCUAGCCAUCUCCUAAAUUCAUGUGAAUUGGUAGAGUUGAUAAUUAUGCCUAAUCCAAGCUCUGGCAAUUAUAUUGGCCAUAAUUAAAUAAGGAAAAUUGACUUUUCUUAUUUAAUGCCAAUAUUCCAAUUCUGCCAUUUUCUAAAGGAACUACUAUUUUUAUAGCAGAUAAAAUUCCCACAUAAAUUGUGGAGCUUGUCCUUGCUAUAUAAUCACUAGUUUCAUCUUUAUCUCAUGUUCCAUAGAUAAAAAUUGGGCACAUGAUCCAAUGCAAGAUUAUGCCCUCUCUGGAAUUUUGCAAAGGAAGUGCUUUAUUCCUAAUUCCUUAUGAGCUGAAAUUUGGUAGGGUGAUGAAUAUUGAUAAAUAACCCAUGGACACCAAAGAUGAACUCAAUCCAAUCAUCUUAGCUCCUAGUGCAAUUUUUCAAAGUUUCUGACCAGAUUGUCACUUUGUGAAGGAAGUACCUUCAUAGUGUUCUCAAAUGGGAUGCAACUUUGCCAUCUUCUCAUGUGUCCCAAAUCAUUAGCCUCCACCCAAAUUCAGCUCAUUUCAUUGAGCUAUGUGAGCACAGGAGCAAUUCUGGUUUUCUGUCCAAAAUUUCAGUUUGUGAAGCAAGUAUAUUUUAUCUUGCUCCAUUAUGUCUGAAAAUAGUACCAAGCCUUCUACUAUCCCUAUAACCCACCUACCCAAGAGUUUGGCUAAUUUCAUUUGGCCAAUAUUUUCCUAGAAUUUUCCCAAGUUUCUGGUCAAAAGUGAUGCUUGUGAAGCAAGCACCAAUUUGGCAAGUCCAUUUGGUCUGAUCUUUUUACAGCAUCUACUUAUGACAAAAUCAUGAGGAUUUGCAAAGUUAUAGCUCAAUCCAACACUCUGAGUGUCUGCUUGUUCAUCAUCUAGUUUCUGGACCAGAAUUGGUAAUUGCACCGCAACUAUAUUAAAUCUAUGUCCUAAUGAUCUCAUAAUUACCAGGACCAUAGUCCUUGCUACCCUAAGCCUGCCAGACAUCAAUUUUACCAUUUAACCUCUCUGGUUUUACCUCUAGGAUGUUGCCAAGUUUGCAGCAGCAAACUAGUGGAGCUUGGUUUACUCAGCUCCAUUUGUCUGUGCCCAAAUCUUUAUGUGGUAAUACUCCACUUUGGAAGGACUACACGGUAGACAUGAGCUGGCAUCAGUAAAAACUCCAGAGCAUGCCAUGUCCGUGGUGAUCACGAGGGCAGCCAGCCAAAACGAUGGUCUAGCCACUGUUGGCCUCGGCAUCAUUGCUCCAGCUGGAUUUGGCUCGUCCCCGCAUGUCCAGUAGCUCCGCCUCGUUGUUGUUGUUCGCCUGGACCCCGCCCCCCCCUCCAUUUUCUUCUCCGGCGAGCCGUGCCAAAGGUCGAAUAGUGAGCGCCCGUGUGCACCAUCGCCUUCCUCCUCUGUCUUCUUCCUCCCUGAGCCUCGUUGGUGUUUCGUUGCUCCGUGAGCCUCUGCUGCUCGGCUGCAUCCUCCUCUUUGCCUUCCCGCCGCUUCUCGUGCGCCCUCGUGACUGCUGCGGCCGGCAGAGCCUCAGCCGGAUGCGCUCGGCGGUGCCUGGCUUGGGUGCCCCUGUCUCGGCUAUUUAUAGCCAGCCCGAGCCCUCCUCGAGCAAGCCAGCCCCUCCCCUCUCCCUCUGGAGCCCUCUCAUACCCGUGCCCGGCCGAAUCCCUCGCUGGAGCCCGGCAAUUUAGCCGGAGUUCGUCCACGGCCUCCGCGCCAAACCCCUCCCUCCAGCCGUCCCCUGCCCCAUCCGAGGCCAUGGAUGGACGCGCCACUCUCCGACGACCGUCCCUAGCCUGUUGCCCCCCUCAUUCCCCCACCGGAGUCACCCCAAUCACCGAGCCCCGCCGUCCUCUAUCUCCUCCGUCGCCGCAUCUCCAAGCCCUACCCGCCAUCGUUCUACCCUUAGGUGGGCGCGGUGCACGCCGGCGACCCCUUCCCCGUUGCUCCCUGGUCGGAUAGCUCAUUGGAGCGACGAGGCUACGCCGGUGCCGACGCCCUUGCUUCUGUGUCGGGAAGCAGGGGAGAAGAAGGAGGAAUGAGGCGUUGACCUGGCCAGGCAGGCCAGGUGGGACCCGCGCUUUUGCCCCGACCCCACCUGGCAGCGACCCUGGCACCCGGCCCCGCCUCUGCCACUUUGACUGGUCCAAUGCCAUGUCAGAUAAGUGGCGGUGCCCACCGCAAAGCCGUUUUCCUGCGAUGAAAAUGUAUUCUUAGAAAGACGCGUUCUGUUUAAACUACCAGGGACCUGUUUGUAGAAAUAUUUUUAUAGAUUAGUCCCUAAGCUUUAAAUGUCCGUAUCUUUUCAAACGUAGCUCCAAAUCAGGUGAUUCCAAAGCCCAUGUCUUCGUUUUGUCGAGCCCUUUCUGAUGGAAUCAUUUUCACCAUGUUUGCACAUUCUAAAAAUGACCAUUUUGCCCUUGCCGUAAUCAGCCCCCCGAGAGAGAACUGUUCCCGGCAAAUCUUCCCGCGAUCGUUUCACACUUCUUCCCGGAGUAUUUGUCAACCCCCAGGCAAUCCAACCUCUUAUCAUGAGCCCCGAACUUGCAUGUUGACUUUGAUUGCAGCUUGUGUGUGUGUAGUUACAGUUGUUUACUAUCGUUUUCGUUUGCAGUCAUUUCAUUAUGCCUAUCAUGCAUGCUUGUGUUUUCAUGAUAUCUUUUGCCAUGCUAAUUAAAAUAUUGUUAUUGAUAAUGCCAUGUCACUACUCUACUUCAUUUUCAUGACAUCGUUAUAAAAUGCUAUGAUGAUUGUAAUCCACCGUGGAUAUGUUAGUACUUGGUAUUGUCAUGUUCUUUAUGUUGUAGUGGUUCACUUGAGAAGCUCAAUAUUUUAUUAAAGCAUUUGUAUGAUGUAUGCUCAUUGUUGCAUUCAUGUUCAUGAUGAUGGAGAAGGAAAUAAAAUGACUUCAUGAUAACAAACCUCCUCUGUCAUUGAUGGGAUUGAGUCAUAGUGCCACCAAAUUGAACUUUUCAAGUGCUGCCACAUUUGCCUUUAUGGGAAGGCCUUAAUACAAUCUAUUGUCGUGCCUCUCGUUGGUGCCUCCAAUGAGGGAAGGUUAUGGGCACGCGCUACCCUGGUCAGGUAGGCGGACAUAAGCCUUGUGUGCCCGUUGUUGUUGUUAUGGUAUCGGGUCUCCGUGUGGGAUCGUUUAUGUUUUGGCCACGACAGUGGUCGUUGUGUCUUUGGUAGACACGGGGCCACCUAGGACUAGCCCAAUGGGGAGUGAGUCGGAGUGGCCGGGAGAGUGUCAUGACCUUUGGUCGGUUUCAUCGGAAUGCCGUUGGUGCACCCGAAUGGGAUGACGAUGCCAUCGGUUCCAUGGUAUGGGUACAGUGCACUACCACUGCAGAGUGUUUAUAAAGUCUAUCGAUAGCAACACAGUUCAUAGUAGGUCAGACUAUUGGGUCUUGGUCGAAUGGAGGAUAAACCUAAAAUAAUUAAGCUAGUAAUGUGGUAACAAGAAUGUGGUGACUUGGACUUUGAGAUAGUCAUGAGAAGUCACGGCAAUGUUUGGAUAUGAUCACGAGACGAGGUCUCGGUGAGUGUUGGAGACCAAGUGUUGGUCAUGGUUGUCAUUGCCGAAAGGAUCACCGUUUAAGGCCAAAUAUUGGUCGUGGUUGUGAUCGCCGGAAAGAUCACGAGAUAUCACUAGUUAAGACCUUGAGGUUGGUACGUUUGUGAUCCAUGAGUGAUCACCGUUCGGUUGCAAGGAAAUCCUUUGGUAAGAGAGUCCGAGGGACUCGGUGCACAAGUUUGGUUGCAUUGCAUGAGUAGUAAGUUUUUAUUUGCAUUUAAAGAACCAUGGGAGAACAUGAGAUGAUUGAAUGAAGGUAGCAUGUUAUGUCUGCAUUGGAUAUGAUUGGUAGCUUAUUUUCAGAAUAGUUUCAGGAUACCAUGCUAUGUUUGGAUUGAGUAUAUGCCAUGUUUUGAUUGAACUGGUGCCAUGCUUAGAUUAUGUCAUGAUCAAGAUACUAUGCUAUGCCAGGUUUUGCCGUUGCCAUGUUAGAAGUAAAUUUGAUAUGCCAUGUUAUUUCCAUGUUAGUAGGUGCUAUGAUGUUAUUCAUGCUCAGUUGAUCUAUAUCAUGCCAUGUUUAGUAAUUGAUAUGAGAUAGGUUGUUGCAUACACUUGGUUCCUGCUUUCUCUUCUAUUUGUUUGGAUGCUAUGUAUUUGGUUGUCUUGCAAGUACAUUCAAUGUACUGACCUGGCGUGUCAUGCCAAUUUUGUAGGUCGUGCUCGAAUUGUUCGUUGUUCCGUCGUGCUAGGCCGUAAUCUUGUCAGUCCUGUGAGUUGUGGAGCCCAGCCAGAGUGAUAUGCUGCCAAGAC
rnacentral:lncRNA from 1 species